UGAUGGCUGUAAAUGUCUGUACUCUACCUCUGAAUAUGUGCCCCUAGUUACUUACAUUAGCAGUAGUGCAUUCUGAAAUCUUGAUAAACCUUCUUUGACUUCUGGUGCCUAUUUAGGAUAAUGUUGAAACUCAGCACAAGUUCUUUUAAUUUUCAUAAGCGGUUUUUCCUCUCUCCACAGCUCCACAGGCAUUAGAACAGUUGCACACCACGUUUCCUUCCUAGAAGAGGGAGUGCCUGAAGCAGAGAAGAGCUAUUUUAAUAUAAUUUGCCAAUUGUUUUAAUAUGCAACUAUCCCAUCUUUAAAAACACCUCCUCCAUGAGUGGCACUUUACGAUCUGCCAAUACUCUUCCAAACCGAAGACAUUUUCCCCUAUGAACAAUCUGCUUUAUUAACAGAAACGAAGAGACAGUACAGACACCAUGCUCCUGGAAUCUCUUGGUUCUGAUAAAAAUUGAGGUAAGUUGUUUAGGGACACAACUGAGAGAACUGUACUUGCGGAGGCAGUACAUCUCACUGCAGGUCAGUGCGAGAAAGGAUGGUUCAAAGUUACAGGAAUAACGAGCCCCCAUGACCAUCCAGAGAUAUACAGCUAAACGUGUCAUAUAAAAAUGCAAAUACCUCUACCAUUCUCAGGCUGUCCCUCCCAGUCUCAGGUACUUGUCAAGACAAAUUACCAGGUCACACUUCCUUAAAGUUUUUGUUGCACAACGCUGUCUUGUAUCUAAAGUAACGUGUAUGAUAAUCAUCCACUUCCUUCUCAGGAGUUAAGCCUUUAGCUUUCAGAUAAUGUUUCACAUGAAAACACGCUUCACUUUGCUUCAAUUCAGGUAAACUGGCUAAAGGAAGUUCUUUAGAUAAGGGAUCUGUCUGUUCUAUUAUGCUGGCCAAAGCUGGUCACAAACCAUUCUCUCAAAGCUGAUUUAACAGGUCAGACUGAGCUGGUUACUUUGCAAGCACAGCUAGCAUGCUUCUAGAGUUCUCACACAGAACUCUAAUAAUGUAUGUACAAAUCAGAUAUCUUCAUCUCACACAAUUAUAAUGCUGCAAUAAACUACUAUAUUAUAAACA
rnacentral:lncRNA from 1 species